UACAGAGGGUGCGAGCGUUGUCCGGAAUCACUGGGCGUAAAGGGCGCGUAGGUGGCGCUGCAAGUCGGUGGUGAAAGCUCGAUGCUUAACAUCGAGUCGGCCAUCGAAACUGCAGGGCUCGAGCACUGUAGGGGCGGAUGGAAUUCCGGGUGUAGCGGUGGAAUGCGUAGAGAUCCGGAAGAACACCGGUGGCGAAGGCGGUCUGCUGGGCAGUUGCUGACACUGAGGCGCGACAGCGUGGGGAGCAAACAGG
rnacentral:rRNA from 1 species